GGAAGAUAAAAGGAAAGCUAGGGCCCUCAGGUUUUCACAGUCCAAGUCUGGUUCCCAAUCACAAGAGAACGGCAAAGAAAAAACUGAGCAGGAGACUGUUGCGGUGGAGAAGGCUGGAGGAGGAACAUGAACCAUUCUCAAACUUCGUUCAACAGCAAGAGUUACUUAAGAUGUAUAGUUUAUUGUUGCUGCGGAAUGGUUAGGAGUUCUGUUAAGAGUGACUUUAAAUUCCCAAAGUUUUUGUUUUAGUCGUUUUUGGAGUUCCUUGUUUAGUUUGGUAGGUUAGAAGUCUUAACAUUAGCAAGUUCCCUAGUAGCAGGUCCAUCCUUCAAAAUGGGGAAAAUGGCUUUUGUCGUCUCUUAGGUUAGCCAGUAGUGCUGGGAUACAUGGACCACAACCUCCUUAGUGUGUUAUUCUGUCAGAAGUGACGACCCAUAACCAAUAUUUGAAAUCAACUUCUUUUAAAAAAACUUAUCUGAAACGAUUAAACUACAACCUCAAUAUUUCCUACUUGAAACCUUUGUUUUUGACAACUUCAUCAUCGGGCUUUCCUUUAUCAAUCUGCAACUGUUCUUUCUCAUUCUUGUGGUUUUUCAUUUCACCUAAAUGAGAAAAUGGUGCAUAUCAAGGAUCUACUGGUGAUAGCAUUUCUGAUUUCUCCAAGUGCUCAAUGUAGUACCACAGAUACUUGAUUAGAUGUCCACUCUUGUGAUCUGGAUGGUCCUUCAUGACUUGUCGGUAGAAAGUUAAAAGUUUUUGCUAAUCUAGAAAAUAAGUAGUCACCCUUUAUGACAUACUGGAGGCAUCAUAUAUUAAUUCUAGUUUGGUCAGAUUGUUAGUGAUAUUCUUAGUUGGCCUUGCAAGUAGGAAAGGUAAGACUAGUUUUUAUUGCAUCGAGGGCCUUAAAUUUUGUUCAAGAAGAACCACUUGAUUGUGCUACAUCUUUGCAGAGUUUUGAAUUCAGAGAAGGUUUUACUGUAACAUCGCUGCCCGUAUGAUGAUGAAGUUAUCAAAUCCAUAUUUCUAUAACAUUUAAGCUGGUGUGCUUGGGUUUUGUUUAUCUACAAGGUUAGUGUUUCAGUUUUUGAUGUCGUGGGUCAUAUGCAACAGAUUUAACACUAAGGAGGUGUGGUCAAGUAUCUUGGUAUUUGGGUGAAUCGUGUAGGCUGUAGUCAAUAGAUGUCGGAGUUAGUAUAGUCUCUUGCUAUUUUGUUCUUGAAGUUCAGUAGCAAGUGGUUGUAUUUCGGUUACUUGAAUUGUAAAGACAGUAAAUUUGUUGGUGACAAUCUG
rnacentral:misc_RNA from 1 species